GAUGAAGAACGCAGCGAAAUGCGAUAAGUAAUGUGAAUUGCAGAAUUCAGUGAAUCAUCGAAUCUUUGAACGCACCUUGCGCCCUUUGGCCAUUCCGAAGGGCAUGCCUGUUUGAGUAUCAUGAACACCUCAACUCUCAUGGCUUGCCAUGAUGAGCUUGGACUUUGGGGGUCUUGCUGGCCUGCGGCCAGCUCCUCUCAAAUGAAUUAGCUUUCCAGUGUUUGGUUGGCAUCACAGGUGUGAUAACUAUCUACGCUUGUGGUUUCCACCAGGUAACCUUCAGUAACAUGGGGGUUUGCUGGAGCUCAUAAAUGUCUCUCCUCAGUGGGGACAGCUCUUUGAACGUUUGAUCUCAAAGCAGGUAGGACUACCCGCUGAACUUAAGCAUAUCAAUAAGCGGAGGA
rnacentral:misc_RNA from 1 species